AUGGCUGUGUUCUUAGAUUGGAUCCCAGGUUCCAACGCUGUGGCUGGCCUUGGAGAAGCAGAGGGGCAGGAACCCACUGCCAGGACCUGGACAGACCCAACCUUGUCCUCCCUGGAUCCCACAGGCCCCUCUUCCCUGCCUCUCCCUGAUGCUGGCGGCUCGGGGAUGCUGCUGAGAGAGGCUGGUCCCCAGCUCUGAGAGGCUUCAAGGCAUCACCAUGGAGACGCUCCAGGCCGCCAGCCACACAAAAGGAGCUGUGAGUUCCCCAGCUCACCUGGGACUCCGAGCUAACGAGGAGGUGGCAAAAGUGUUUCAUUUUCUCUCCUUGUUCUCUUACAAAAAGAAAGAGGCAAUUUACACAGACAAACAAACCCCACCCUGCCCUGAAAGGAAGCUGCUAAGCCUGUCCUUCCAUGGUGACUGGCCUCCUCCUCAGAGAAGAAGGGAGAAGCCUGGGCCUGGAGGUCUACAAUGGGACAUUCGCAGGAAAGAAAGGGGGAUGGAGGGACCAACAGGAAACCUAGGGCCGGCCCCCUUCUCCUACCCAAAUAGAGAGGCCAGCUCAGAGCCAAGUGUAUGAGUCCUCUCUUCUUCCAGGGUCACGCACAGCUCUGGAUGAUGGGCUGCCGAAGUAAGACAGCCAAGGCUGAAAGAGGGGGUGCCUGACAGAGCAGAGCCGCAAAAGGCAAACCCCUGCACCCCAGAACACCUGGUCACACCCUUGGCUCUGACACUUCCCAGCUGCGUAACCUUGGUUUUGUGACCUAGACUCUCAGAGACCUGCCCUUCUUGUCACGUUUACACCUCGGACGGUGAACCAGGUUGUGACGGUCACAAGUGAACCCUCCGAGGCCAGUGCCUGGCACACAGUAGGUUGCCCUCCAGAUACAGUUAUCAAAAGUUCCUCCAGCAAAGAAGCUACUUCUGGCUCCAUGGAGCCGCCUCCUGGUCCCUUGACGGGAAUACUCUUGACCGCUCUGUUGGUGACCGUGACAAACCCCAGACAAACCCCAGCACCUAAAGCUCAAGGCAGAGAAGCAAGGAUCUCACAGGCUAAGAAAUACACCUGCCUUCUGAUCCGGAGUUCCAUUUAAAGGAUUACACUAUAAAAGCCUUACUUAUCCUGCAAAAAGACAAAUGCAUAAGGAUGUUCAAUUCGGCAUUGUUUAUAGUAAUAAAAAAUGGAAACUCAUAAAUAUCCAUGAACAAGGCAAUCUAUGAAAUCACCGUGGUACAGACACACAGUGGGAUACUACAUAGCCAUUAAAAAGAAUGAAGUGGAAAAACAGACUGCCAUGAAAGCUCUCGAAGACACAGUCAGUAAAAAAGUAAGCCACGAAACGAUACACUCAGUGUAUUUAAAAAACAAUCUGUGUUUGUGUGGGGGGAUACACAGUUUCAAGUAAAAUAAUGUAUGUAAAAAAACUG